CACUCACCGGUGGGACAGUGAGACAGGGACCCACCGCUGACACGUCCCACGUCAGACAGGGAGGAGGAGGCCCCCAAAGGGAGGGAGCCAGCAUGCCUGCUGUGUCAGCCAUCAGAGGCUGACCCGGACAUCUGUAGAGAAAACCUUCAGAUAAAUGAGUUCUGUGCCCACGAGUUCUGCCUGUUUUUUGCCAGCCUCCUUGAUCAGCAAGAGAAUGAACGAGUAGGACUCAGGGUUUUCCUCCCAAGGAAUAUCCCAGAUGUACUCUCCCAGGUGGCACAGCAGGUGAGAGCCUGACAAGAGCAGGGAGAUUUGGGCCAGGUGAGGUUUGCUGGAGCUCAGCCCAGACCCCAAGCAAGAAAGCCCAGCCCUUCCAACCAGCUCUGGGACAAGGAGGAGGCCAUGAGGCUGCUGCU